rnacentral:misc_RNA from 1 species
GUAAAGAGCCGUAGUUUACCAUGGGAGAAUGCUGAAAUGGAUGCAAUUCACUCUUUGCAGCUUAUUCUUCGAGACUCAUUUAGGGAUGCUGAAGCAAGCAAUUCCAAAGCUAUUGCAAAUACCCAACUUGGGGAUCUGGAGUUGCAAGGAAUGGAUGAACUCAGCUCAGUGGCAAGGGAAAUGGUUAGGCUAAUAGAGACUGCAACUGCUCCUAUAUUUGCUGUAGAUGUUGAUGGCUGCAUAAAUGGUUGGAAUGCAAAAGUUGCUGAGUUGACAGGGCUCUCAGUUGAGGAAGCUAUGGGAAAGUCUUUGGUUCAUGAUCUUGUUUAUAAGGAGUAUGAAGAAACUGUUGGCAAGCUUCUUUCUCAUGCUUUAAGAGGCAAAGAAGAUAAGAAUGUAGAAAUAAAAUUGAGGACAUUUGGCUCUGAACAAGAAAAGAAGGCUGUUUUUGUGGUGGUGAAUGCUUGUUCUAGCAAAGAUUACAUGAAUAAUAUAGUUGGAGUGUGCUUUGUUGGUCAGGAUAUUACUGGUCAAAAAGUGGUAAUGGACAAAUUCAUCCAUAUCCAAGGUGAUUACAGGGCUAUUGUUCAUAGUCCAAAUCCUUUGAUCCCUCCGAUAUUUGCUUCAGAUGAAAACACUUGCUGCUUGGAGUGGAACACUGCAAUGGAAAAGCUUACAGGGUGGACCCGAGGAGAAAUUAUUGGGAAGAUGUUGGUUGGGGAGGUUUUUGGCAGUUGCUGUCGGCUGAAGGGUCCAGAUGCAUUGACAAAAUUCAUGAUUGUCCUGCACAGUGCAAUUGGAGGACAGGAUACAGACAAAUAUCCAUUUUCCUUCUUGGAUCGGAAUGGAAAAUUUGUCCAAGCUCUUUUGACAGCAAACAAAAGGAUAGAUAUGGGGGGCNNNNNNNNGAGCCUUCUGCUUCUUGCAGAUUGCAAGUCAUGAGUUGCAGCAAGCUUUGAAAGUCCAGAGGCA